GCCCUAGAAAAAAUCUAAGGUGUAACCUGCCCAGUGAUUCUAAAGUUAACAUCAUAAAAGAAUGCUAAUAGGAUUAAAAGGACGCGGUAACCUUGACCGUGAUAAUGUAGCAUAAUCACUUGCCAUUUAAUUGGUGGAUAGUAUGAAUGGUUGAACGAAUAUCCCACUGUCUUAAAGAAAACUAAAAAAAAAUUGAAAUAAUAGUUAAGAUGCUAUUUUAAACUGUAAGACGAAGAGACCCUAUAGAGCUUCGACUAUAAUCUUUAUAUUAUAAUCCUAAAUUAAUAAUAUUUAAUGACUUAUAAAGAUUGGUAGUUUAGUUGGGGCGACUAUCUUUUAGAAAAAACAAAGAUAAGCAAAAAUUAAUAAAUGAUUUAUUGUCUAAUUAAUUCAUUUAACAAUUACAAAAGUAGGCUAUAAUGACCCGUUUAUAUUUUGUAAAAAAAUGAACGAUCAAUUAAUAAAAAGCUACCUUCAGGGAUAACAGGAUAAUUUCAUUUUAGAGUUCCUAUCGAAAAUGGAGUUUGUCACCUCUAUGUUGAAUUAAGAUAUCCUGGUAAUGCAGAAGUUACCAAAGGUGGGUCUGUUCGACCUUUAAAAUCUU
rnacentral:rRNA from 1 species